rnacentral:pre_miRNA from 1 species
UCUUAUAGGUGAGCAAAGAAAGUAGUUUCUUGAGAUGGAAUCAACUCCUAGUGGAGAUGCUGUGAA